ACUCCUAAAGAUUCAGCACUGUUUCAUUAGAGCUGAUUCCCUUUUCCUUUGAUUUGAGUAAAACUUUUAAGAACUUCUUUGGGAUUUCUAUUUUCCACAAGUCGAGAAUGGUUUAAGUUUGAGGUUGUGUGUGGCUGGUUCUUGUUGUUUGUUGUCUACUGUUCUACUGUUGAAAAUCCAUCACUUUGCUGCUAAACUAGUUGCUUUACUUAGCAUUUGGAACAAUUCUUGAACAGCUAUGUACACAUCUCACCUAAUGUCUAAAUGUUUGCAAAUCUGAUACAACCUUCUGUUUGAUACUGUUUUGUUUGUAUAAUGAGGUUCAUUCCCAUAAAUGCAACAACAUUUAACUUUUCUUUGAUCAUGUGAUUCCCUGUUAUUUCAUUGUUCUUUUUAUGCUAUGAAAAACCUGUUUGUUUGUGAUGUUAAACAUAAUAUUUGUAUUUACUGGAUUUAUGAUAUGUAUGAUGUUGUGUCAUUCUGGUCUCCACCGUUAUAUUUUUGGCUGAGUUUGUGUGGUAAUAUUACUGCUAACAUAUGUGAAGCUAUGCUCUUGAUGGAUCUGAUCCUUGACAUGGUCAGAUCCAUGGGAUUUAAAGCUGAAAAAUGGAAUUCUGGGAUGUACAUGGAAGACCUGGCAACUUGCUGAAAGCUACUGCUAAAACUUCCCUUAUAGUCAUUAGAACAUUUGUUUUUGAUAGUUUAGUUUAGGUUUGUCUAUGGUUUCAUAGAUUGAGCUUCAUUUGGUUUAGCUAUAGCUUGAUAAUCAAUGGUUCAUUACUGCUAGGAGAUAAAAAAUUCUCAUAUAGAUUGAUUCUGUUGUAUGUUCAUGUAGGGACAAUUAGCACUGAAUGGUGUUAAUAGUUUAGCCUCCAUGUGUUGGAUUCAUUUGGAAGUCCAGAAUGAAUGUAUAGUGUCUUUGGUUCAUUUACUUUGAAGUGUUCAUUAAACGGUCUGUUGAUUAGCGUGUUUCCAUGAUGUAUUUUUCUUAAAACUUGGGGUUUAAGCCCAUACAAUUUCAAAG
rnacentral:lncRNA from 1 species